CAGAGUUGCAAACUCCCAACCCUUUGUGAACGUACUGAAAAGUUGCUUCGGCGGGAGGCUCCUCAGGGAGCGGACCGCCGGAGGAAUCCAAACUCUUGUUUUUUUGCAUCUCUGAGUAGCUUAUAAAUAAGUUA
rnacentral:misc_RNA from 1 species